CUGUACUCUCCCAAACGCUCAGCACAGUACUUUGUACACAGUUUAAAGAUUAAGUGAGCAUAUUAAUUGGUCCCACGGCUUCUGAGGGUAGAAACAAAAAGCUAAAGAGAAUCCGUUCCACUCGGGCUGCUGAGGCACAGAUGAGAUUGAGGAAGCUGAGGUCCAGAGAGAGUAACCUGCCCGAGGUCUCAGAGCAGGCUAAGACUAGAACUAGAGACUCUCUGAUUUUCUCCAUCUGAGCUAUCUUCAUGGAUCAAAGAAGCCGGCCUACUUCAGUUAGUCUGGGCAGCCUAAAGCCUAUUUUAAUAAACAAAAGUAAGGUUGCAUUAAA